UCAAAUUACUGCAGAAAGGUGGGAAGGAGAAACCAAAAACCAAUGCAGAAGAGCUACAGAUUAAAAAAGUUAAGAAGAAAAAGAAAAAGAAACAUAAAGAGAACGAGAAGAGGAAGCGUCCUAAAAUGUACAGCAAAUCCAUUCAGACCAUCUGCUCGGGAUUGGUUUCUGAUAUUGAGGAUCAGGAAGCCAAAGGCAUCAUAGAUGAUCAUCUUAAGGAUUUCACUGGGAAAAAUAUGGAUCCCAAGAAGGACUGUGAGUCCAAGAUACCAGAGAACAUGAAAAUGGAGAUUUUGGGAAAGAAAGAUAUAGAGACAACGACUAUGUCAAAUUUUCAUGCUCAGG